CAGUAGCCACGGUAAUACGUAGGUGGCAAGCGUUGUCCGGAAUUAUUGGGCGUAAAGGGCUCGCAGGCGGUUUCUUAAGUCUGAUGUGAAAGCCCCCGGCUCAACCGGGGAGGGUCAUUGGAAACUGGGAAACUUGAGUGCAGAAGAGGAGAGUGGAAUUCCACGUGUAGCGGUGAAAUGCGUAGAGAUGUGGAGGAACGCCAGUGGCGAAGGCGACUCUCUGGUCUGUAACUGACGCUGAGGAGCGAAAGCGUGGGGAGCGAACAGGAUUAGAUACCCCCGUAGUCCCUGUCUCUUAUAC
rnacentral:rRNA from 1 species